rnacentral:rRNA from 1 species
GCUCAGGACGAACGCUGGCGGCGUGCCUAAUACAUGCAAGUCGAGCGGACAGAUGGGAGCUUGCUCCCUGAUGUUAGCGGCGGACGGGUGAGUAACACGUGGGUAACCUGCCUGUAAGACUGGGAUAACUCCGGGAAACCGGGGCUAAUACCGGAUGCUUGAUUGAACCGCAUGGUUCAAUUAUAAAAGGUGGCUUUUAGCUACCACUUACAGAUGGACCCGCGGCGCAUUAGCUAGUUGGUGAGGUAACGGCUCACCAAGGCAACGAUGCGUAGCCGACCUGAGAGGGUGAUCGGCCACACUGGGACUGAGACACGGCCCAGACUCCUACGGGAGGCAGCAGUAGGGAAUCUUCCGCAAUGGACGAAAGUCUGACGGAGCAACGCCGCGUGAGUGAUGAAGGUUUUCGGAUCGUAAAACUCUGUUGUUAGGGAAGAACAAGUACCGUUCGAAUAGGGCGGUACCUUGACGGUACCUAACCAGAAAGCCACGGCUAACUACGUGCCAGCAGCCGCGGUAAUAC